rnacentral:rRNA from 1 species
UACAUGGGGUGCAAACGUUGCUCGGAAUCAUUGGGCGUAAAGCGCACGUAGGCGGUUCGUUAUGUCGGAUGUGAAAGCCCUCGGCUUAACCGGGGAAGUGCAUCCGAAACUGGCGAGCUUGAGUACUAAAGAGGGUCGCGGAAUUCCCGGUGUAGAGGUGAAAUUCGUAGAUAUCGGGAGGAACACCAGCGGCGAAGGCGGCGACCUGGGUAGAUACUGACGCUGAGGUGCGAAAGCGUGGGGAGCGAACCGG